rnacentral:rRNA from 2 species
AGUACGUGAAACUGCUUAGAGGUUAAACCUGAUGAACCUGAAUAUCCAUUAUGGAAAAUUCAUCACCAAUAAUAAAUAUUAUUUAUAAUAUCUUAUAAAUGGUGCGCAAUUUUUCCAUAUAAGGACAUUGUAAUCUGUUAAUAUAAUAAAAAUUUAUCAAAAGAUCCUUUACUUAAGUUUAUUCAAAUUGAUUUUUUUCGGAAUUUCAACAUAGAUUAAAUGUAUUGGAUUUGAUAAAGUAUUGACAGAUAAAAUUAUAUAAAGUGCUCAGAUUUUUCGGAAUCUAACAAUGAUAAGUAGAUCUAUUGAUUUAUUUAUUUAAUUGUUUGCGCUUUUAUGAUUAACAAUGCGAUAGAUUCAGGAUACCUUCAGGACCCGUCUUGAAACACGGACCAAGGAGUCUAACAUAUGUGCAAGUCAUUGGGUAUUUUUAAUAAAACCCAAUGGCAUAAUUAACUUAACUGUUAUAAUGGGAUUAAUUUAUUAUUUUUAUAAAUUAUAAAUACAAUCCCGGGGCGUUCUAUACAGUUAUGUAUAAUAGUAUUUAUAUUAUUUAUACCUCUAACUAGAGCGUACCUUGAGC